UGCCUAGUGGUCCAGUGGUUAAGACUCUGCACUUCCAAGGCAGGGGGUCCAGGUUUGAUCCCUGGUCAGGGAA
rnacentral:tRNA from 1 species